GAUGAACGCUGGCGGCGUGCCUAAUACAUGCAAGUCGAGCGAACAGACGAGGAGCUUGCUCCUCUGACGUUAGCGGCGGACGGGUGAGUAACACGUGGAUAACCUACCUAUAAGACUGGGAUAACUUCGGGAAACCGGAGCUAAUACCGGAUAAUAUAUUGAACCGCAUGGUUCAAUAGUGAAAGACGGUUUUGCUGUCACUUAUAGAUGGAUCCGCGCCGCAUUAGCUAGUUGGUAAGGUAACGGCUUACCAAGGCAACGAUGCGUAGCCGACCUGAGAGGGUGGUCGGCCACACUGGAACUGAGACACGGUCCAGACUCCUGAGGGAGGCAGCAGUAGGGAAUCUUCCGCAAUGGGCGAAAGCCUGACGGAGCAACGCCGCGUGAGUGAUGAAGGUCUUCGGAUCGUAAAACUCUGUUAUUAGGGAAGAACAAAUGUGUAAGUAACUAUGCACGUCUUGACGGUACCUAAUCAGAAAGCCACGGCUAACUACGUG
rnacentral:rRNA from 1 species